rnacentral:rRNA from 1 species
UAUAUCGGCCAUACCACCUUGAAAAUGACCAAUCUCAUCUGAUCUUGCAAGAUAAGCUGGGUUGGGUAAAGUUAGUAUGGGGAUGAGAGACCAGUGGAUUGGUAGUGGCUCUGACGAAU